CCUGCCCCUUGAGGCGUUGCAGCCCAGCCGUCAGUGCUGCAGCUGUGUCAUAAGGCGGCAGAGAGAGAGCGGUGGAGGUCUGCACUGAGACUCCAACAUGUGGAGGACUCGGAGUCAUACUGUCCACCUACAAU